rnacentral:rRNA from 1 species
UUAGAGGAAGUAAAAGUCGUAACAAGGUCUCCGUAGGUGAACCUGCGGAGGGAUCAUUAAUGAAAGGUCGCAAGACCUAGACCCUUCAAACCUGUGGAAGCGAGACGUGCUUCGGCAGAGUCGCUCUUGACCUGCCGCAUUUAUGCUGUCUGGUGUUUGUGUCUGAAUCAAAGAAGAAUCAAAACUUUCAACAAAGGAUCUCUUGGCUCUCGCAUCGAUGAAGAACGCAGCGAAGCGCGAAAUGUAGUGUGAAUCGCAGAACAUUGUGAAUCAUCGAAUCUUUGAACGCACAUUGCGCCUCUCCUCUCAAGAGAGGCAUGCCUGUCUGAGCGUCAUUUAAACCAUGGACCCGGCCUCGGGUUCCGUGCUGGGUCUCGCCCCUCCUCGGGCGUCUCCUCAAAGUCAUCGGUCUACACGAGCGGAUGAAAUCCUUCAGGACUGACCGUUCGUCAGACUUUAAAAAUCUCCAGAGUUGACCUCAGAUCAGGUAGGACUACCGCCUGAACUUAAGCAUAUCAAUAAGC